rnacentral:lncRNA from 1 species
AAACAAGACCACUUCUCAACAGAGAAAGCCCGGUGCCCACAGAGGCCCGACGCUGGCUCUCACUUGCAGUGCUUGAUGAACUCGACGUUGGUGUAGUGAAGCUUGCCCAGGCUCUCCUCCAAGUACUGGCGGAAGCUGCGCAGGGACACCUGCAUGACGUCGACGUAGCUGAGCAGCUCCCGGUGCAGCGCGCUGCUGAGAGUAACCAGCCUGGGGGGGCACAGGAGGACAUGAGUAACCAGCCUGGGGGGCACAGGAGGGCACGAUGGUGACCUGCGCGUGGGAGGGCAGCCUGCGGGGGCGCCAGAGCGCCACUGUGGCGCCCAUCUGUGGGAGCAGCAGAACCACCGCCAUGUUCCUCUGGGUAGAAACAGAAGCUUAGAAGGAAGCUCAAAUUCCAGGGUUCUGUAGGGCACAGUGUGGAACUCUCAGUGUGCUGGGUCAGAGGACAGCCCUCUCCUCGCUCUGGGCCUUGCCACCAAAUUACUAAAGGAAUCCACCAGGUCCCACUGGAUCUUCCUCCUCCCUGCGGCACAAACUUUCUCUCUCGCACCUGCGCCUGGUGUUCUCCCGAAGGAGCACCCUGCCACGAGGCCUCCUGCAAGAAGCUUGUCCUGAUUUUCCUUGAUGGAAGUGUUCUUUUCCAGCAUGGACAUUUCAGGGCAGGAGCCUGAAUUCCAACAGACUUCUACAGUGGAGUACACAGAACCUGGAUGUGGCCAGAAGGGAUCCAUCAUCGCGCCAGGUGAAACUUCAGUGUUUCCUCAUGGCUUUGCUGCCUCAGUUGGUCCAAGAGCUGAUCAAGGUGGGCCUCCUGGGCCUGGAAGCCACCCCCAAAACAGGGAGUAGAUGUAAGUUACCAAAGCUUGCAGAGUGCAU